rnacentral:rRNA from 1 species
UCCAAGCCUAAAUACUACCUGAUGACCGAUAGAGGAGCAGUACCGUGAGGGAAAGGUGAAAAGGACCCCGGGAGGGGAGUGAAAGAGAACCUGAAACCUUGUGCUUACAAGCAGUCAAAGCACGUUAACGUGUGAUGACGUACUUUUUGUAGAACGGUCCGGCGAGUUAUAGUAACGAGCAAGCUUAAGGUAUUCAGUACCGGAGGCGAAGCGAGAGCGAGUCUGAAUAGGGCGUAAAAAGUUCGUUGCCAUAGACCCGAAACCGGGUGACCUAACCAUGAGCAGGCUGAAGUGAGAGUAAAAUCUCAUGGAGGGCCGAACGCACGUUCGUUGCAAUGACCGGCGAUGACUUGUGGUUAGCGGAGAAAUUCCAAUCGAACUCGGAGAUAGCUGGUUCUCCCCGAAAUAGCUUUAGGGCUAGCGUUAUGUUAGAUUACCGGAGGUAAAGCACUGAAUGGUAGCGGGGCCGAUAAGGUUACCAACGCCUAUCAAACUAAGAAUGCCGGCUAAUUGAUGCAUAGCAGUCAGACAGUGUGAGAUAAGUUUCAUUGUCAAAAGGGAAACAGCCCAGACCCACAGCUAAGGUCCCUAAUGCAUGCUAAGUGGAAAACGAUGUGGAAUUGCGAAAACAACCAGGAUGUUGGCUUAGAAGCAGCCACUCAUUAAAAGAGUGCGUAAUAGCUCACUGGUCGAGUGACUCUGCGCGGAAAAUAUAACGGGGCUAAGCAUGCAACCGAAGCUUGGGAUUGUCUAAAGACAGUGGUAGGGGAGCGUCGUGUACGGGGUGAAGUCGCAUCGGAAGGAGCGGUGGACUGUACACGAGUGAGAAUGCCGGAAUGAGUAGCGAGAAUUAUGUGGGAAUCAUAAUGGCCGAAAAUCUAAGGUUUCUUGGGGAAGGUUCGUCCGCCCAAGGUAAGCCGGGAGCUAAGGCGAGGCCGCAAGGCGUAGUCGAUGCACAUACGGUAAAGAUUCCGUAGCCGCCGAACUUUAAGUCAGAGGGACACUUGCAGAUAGCGGAACCCAGCCGUUGGUUGAGCUGGGCGAAAGGGACUGAAAUUAGUAGGGAAGUCCGCGAUGCUGAAAGGCGAGAAAAGCUCUGAUGAAUACUAAGGCGCCCGUACCGCAAACCGACACAGGUAGAUGAGGAGAGAAUCCUAAGGCCAACGGGAGAAGGGUUGUUAAGGAACUCGGCAAAUUGACCCCGUAACUUCGGAAGAAGGGGAGCCUCGAAAGAGGCCGCAGUGAAUAGGCCCAAGCAACUGUUUACCAAAAACACAGGUUUAUGCUAAAUCGAAAGAUGACGUAUAUGAGCUGACGCCUGCCCGGUGCCGGAAGGUUAAGAGGAGAGCUUAGAGCAAUCGAAGGUUUGAAUUGAAGCCCCGGUAAACGGCGGCCGUAACUAUAACGGUCCUAAGGUAGCGAAAUUCCUUGUCAGGUAAGUUCUGACCCGCACGAAUGGCGUAAUGAUUUGGGCACUGUCUCAACAGCCCGCCCGGCGAAAUUGUAGUACUGGUGAAGAUGCCAGUUACCCGCAACUAGACGGAAAGACCCCAUGGAGCUUUACUGCAGUUUAAUACUGGGAAUCGGUAAUGCAUGUACAGGAUAGGUGGGAGACUAGGAAGCAUGGUCGUCAGGUCAUGUGGAGUCACCGGUGGGAUACCACUCUUGUAUUGCUGAUUUCCUAACCUGCGGCCGUGAAUCCGGUCGGGGGACACUGUUAGACGGGCAGUUUGACUGGGGCGGUCGCCUCCAAAAGAGUAACGGAGGCGCUCAAAGGUUCGUUCAGCACGGACGGAAAUCGUGCAUUGAGUGUAAACGCAUAAACGAGCCUAACUGCGAGACCGACGGGUCGAGCAGUAACGAAAGUUGGAGUUAGUGAUCCGGUGGUAUGUGAGUGGAAAUGCCAUCGCUCAACGGAUAAAAGCUACCCUGGGGAUAACAGGCUGAUCUCCCCCAAGCGUCCACAGCGACGGGGAGGUUUGGCACCUCGAUGUCGGCUCGUCGCAUCCUGGGGCUGAAUUCGGUCCCAAGGGUUUGGCUGUUCGCCAAUUAAAGCGGUACGCGAGCUGGGUUCAGAACGUCGUGAGACAGUUCGGUCCCUAUCUGUCGUGGGCGCAGGAUAUUUGAAAGG